AAUGAACGCUGGCGGCAUGCCUAACACAUGCAAGUCGAACGAAGGCUUCGGCCUUAGUGGCGCACGGGUGCGUAACGCGUGGGAAUCUGCCCUCAGGUUCGGAAUAACAGCGAGAAAUUGCUGCUAAUACCGGAUGAUAUCGCGAGAUCAAAGAUUUAUCGCCUGAGGAUGAGCCCGCAUAGGAUUAGCUAGUUGGUGUGGUAAAGGCGCACCAAGGCGACGAUCCCUGGCUGGUCUGAGAGGAUGAUCAGCCACACUGGGACUGAGACACGGCCCAGACUCCUACGGGAGGCAGCAGUGGGGAAUAUUGGACAAUGGGCGAAAGCCUGAUCCAGCAAUGCCGCGUGAGUGAUGAAGGCCUUAGGGUUGUAAAGCUCUUUUACCCGGGAUGAUAAUGACAGUACCGGGAGAAUAAGCUCCGGCUAACUCC
rnacentral:rRNA from 1 species